GAUGAAGAACGUAGCGAAAUGCGAUAAGUAAUGUGAAUUGCAGAAUUCAGUGAAUCAUCGAAUCUUUGAACGCACCUUGCGCUCCUUGGUAUUCCGAGGAGCAUGCCUGUUUGAGUGUCAUGAAAUUCUCAAACCCAUAAGUCUUUGCGGGCUUACGGGCUUUGGACUUCGAGGCUUGUCGGCGACCGUAAAGUCACAUCGACUCCUCUCAAAUGCAUUAGCUUGAUUCCUUGCGGAUCGGCUCUCGGUGUGAUAAUUGUCUACGCCGUGACCGUGAAGCGUUUUGGCAAGCUUCUAACCGUCUCUAACGAGACAGCUUACUUUGACCUCUGACCUCAAAUCAGGUAGGACUACCCGCUGAACUUAAGCAUAUCAAUAAGCGGAGGA
rnacentral:misc_RNA from 1 species